ACCAGUACCGUGAGGGAAAGGUGAAAAGCACCCCGGAAGGGGAGUGAAAUAGAACCUGAAACCGUGUGCUUACAAGUAGUCAGAGCCCGUUAAUGGGUGAUGGCGUGCCUUUUGUAGAAUGAACCGGCGAGUUACGAUUUGAUGCAAGGUUAAGCAGUAAAUGUGGAGCCGUAGCGAAAGCGAGUCUGAAUAGGGCGUUUAGUAUUUGGUCGUAGACCCGAAACCAGGUGAUCUACCCUUGGUCAGGUUGAAGUUCAGGUAACACUGAAUGGAGGACCGAACCGACUUACGUUGAAAAGUGAGCGGAUGAACUGAGGGUAGCGGAGAAAUUCCAAUCGAACCUGGAGAUAGCUGGUUCUCUCCGAAAUAGCUUUAGGGCUAGCCUCAAGUGAUGAUUAUUGGAGGUAGAGCACUGUUUGGACGAGGGGCCCCUCUCGGGUUACCGAAUUCAGACAAACUCCG
rnacentral:rRNA from 1 species